GUGUCAGCAGCCGCGGUAAUACAGAGGGUGCAAGCGUUGUUCGGAAUUAUUGGGCGUAAAGCGCGUGUAGGCGGCUCAGCAAGUCAGGUGUGAAAGCCCUCGGCUUAACCGAGGAAGUGCGCCUGAAACUACUGAGCUUGAGUGCCGGAGAGGGUGGCGGAAUUCCCGGUGUAGAGGUGAAAUUCGUAGAUAUCGGGAGGAACACCAGCGGCGAAGGCGGCCACCUGGACGGUAACUGACGCUGAGACGCGAAAGCGUGGGGAGCAAACAGGAUUAGAAACCCGGGUAGUCC
rnacentral:rRNA from 1 species